CUCAGUUCGGAUUGUAGGCUGAAACUCGCCUACAUGAAGCUGGAGUUACUAGUAAUCGCAGAUCAGAAUGCUGCGGUGAAUGCGUUCCCGGGUCUUGUACACACCGCCCGUCACACCACGGAAGUUGGGGGCGCCCGAAGCCACUUAGCUAACCCUUUGGGAAGCGAGUGUCGAAGGUGAAAUCAAUAACUGGGGUGAAGUCGUAACAAGGUACC
rnacentral:rRNA from 1 species